rnacentral:rRNA from 1 species
CUAGGCGUACAGCUCAGUAACACGUGGCUAACCUGCCCUUGAGACGGAAACAUCCCCGGGAAACUGGGGCUAAUUUCCGAUAGGUGAAGACUCCUGGAAUGGAUUUUCGCCGAAAGGGCGCCUAGGGCAUGCUUCUAGGUGUUGCUCAAGGAUGGGGCCGCGGCCGAUCAGGUUGUUGGUGAGGUAAUGGCUCACCAAGCCUUUAACCGGUACGGGCCGUGGGAGCGGUAUCCCGGAGAUGGGCACUGAGACAAGGGCCCAGGCCCUACGGGGCGCAGCAGUCGCGAAAACUUCGCAAUAAGCGAAAGCUUGACGGGGCCAUCCCGAGUGCCAUCUGCUGAGGAUGGCUUUUACCCAGUAUAGAUAGCUGGGGGAAUAAGGAGAGGGCAAGUCUGGUGUCAGCCGCCGCGGUAAUACCAGCUCUCCGAGUUGUAGGGAUGUUUAUUGGGCCUAAAGCAUCCGUAGCCGGCUGGACAAGUCCCCUGUUAAAUCCAGCGACCAAUCGUUGGUCUGCGGGGGAUACUGUCCGGCUAGGGGGCGGGAGAGGCCGUCGGUAUUCUUGGGGUAGGGGUGAAAUCCUAUAAUCCCAGGAGGACCACCAGUGGCGAAGGCUGUCGGCUAGAACGCGCCCGACGGUGAGGGAUGAAAGCUGGGGGAGCGAACCGGAUUAGAUACCCGGGUAGUCCCAGCUGUAAACGAUGCAGGCUAGGUGUUAGGGCGGCUACGUGCCGCUCUAGUGCCGCAGGGAAGCUGUUAAGCCUGCCGCCUGGGGAAACGGCCGCAAGCUGAACUUAAAGGCC